GACGAACGCUGGCGGCGUGCCUAAUACAUGCAAGUCGAGCGAAGUUUUUCUGGUGCUUGCACUAGAAAAACUUAGCGGCGAACGGGUGAGUAACACGUAAAGAACCUGCCUCAUAGACUGGGACAACUAUUGGAAACGAUAGCUAAUACCGGAUAACAGUAUUUCUCGCAUGAGAGAUAUUUAAAAGUUGGUUAUGCUAACACUAUGAGAUGGCUUUGCGGUGCAUUAGCUAGUUGGUGGGGUAAAGGCCUACCAAGGCGACGAUGCAUAGCCGACCUGAGAGGGUGAUCGGCCACACUGGGACUGAGACACGGCCCAGACUCCUACGGGAGGCAGCAGUAGGGAAUCUUCCGCAAUGGGCGAAAGCCUGACGGAGCAACGCCGCGUGAGUGAAGAAGGAUUUCGGUUCGUAAAGCUCUGUUGUUAGGGAAGAAUGGAUAUGUAGUAACUAUACAUGUAAGAGACGGUACCUAACCAGAAAGCCACGGCUAACUACGUGCCAGCCGCCGCCGUAACAC
rnacentral:rRNA from 1 species